rnacentral:rRNA from 1 species
AAGGUAGCUUGCUACCGGACCUAGCGGCGGACGGGUGAGUAAUGCUUAGGAAUCUGCCUAUUAGUGGGGGACAACAUCUCGAAAGGGAUGCUAAUACCGCAUACGUCCUACGGGAGAAAGCAGGGGAUCUUCGGACCUUGCGCUAAUAGAUGAGCCUAAGUCGGAUUAGCUAGUUGGUGGGGUAAAGGCCUACCAAGGCGACGAUCUGUAGCGGGUCUGAGAGGAUGAUCCGCCACACUGGGACUGAGACACGGCCCAGACUCCUACGGGAGGCAGCAGUGGGGAAUAUUGGACAAUGGGGGGAACCCUGAUCCAGCCAUGCCGCGUGUGUGAAGAAGGCCUUAUGGUUGUAAAGCACUUUAAGCGAGGAGGAGGCUACUUUAGUUAAUACCUAGAGAUAGUGGACGUUACUCGCAGAAUAAGCACCGGCUAACUCUGUGCCAGCAGCCGCGGUAAUAA